AGCUCGGUGGUCGAGUGGUAAAAUGUCUGCCCAAAAAGCAGGAGGUCGUGGGUUCGAGUCCCACCCGAGUGA
rnacentral:tRNA from 1 species